UACGUAGGGGGCAAGCGUUGUCCGGAUUUAUUGGGCGUAAAGAGCGUGUAGGCGGCCAGGUAGGUCUGCUGUGAAAACUCGAGGCUUAACCUCGAGCUGUCGGCGGAAACCAUCUGGCUAGAGUCCGGAAGAGGAGAAUGGAAUUCCCGGUGUAGCGGUGAAAUGCGUAGAUAUUGGGAAGAACACCUGAGGCGAAGGCGGGUUGCUGGGCCGACACUGACGCUGAGGCGCGAAAGCCAGGGGAGCGAACGGG
rnacentral:rRNA from 1 species